UCCUCAGAGCAUUGCUGCAUGCUGUCAUGUCAGUUUCAGUGGUAUGUGGUAUUAAAAUGAUGGAAGAGUUUUAUUCAGCAUGGGAUAUAGCAGGGGUUAGCAAACUACAGCCAGCCACCUAUUUUUGUAAGUCUCGCAAGCUGUUUUUAUGUUUUACAUUUUUUAAUAGUUGAAAAAAUGAGAAUAAGUAAUAUUUAAUAACAUGAAAAUCUUAAGAAAUUCACAUUUCAGCAUCCAUAAAGUUUCAUUGGAAGCCAAACAUACCCAUUCAUUUACCUUUCUUGUAUGGCUGCUUUCAUUCUACAACAGUGGACUUGAGUCGUUGCUGUAGAGACCCUCUUAUCCGCAAAGCCAAAAAUAUUUACUAUCUUGCUUUCCCUUUACAGAAAAGUUUGCUGACCCCCCAGUAUAGUACAUAAUAUGGUGGAAAGAAAAGAAUAAACCUAGAACUGUGAGGAAUGUUUCCAGAAAAAAAAAAGGGGUGUCAGAGUAGUCAUUGGUAUGAAAGGAGAGCCGUGAGAACUACAUUCUGGGUCCUAAAGGAAUGGGCGAGGAGUGUGAGCAGCAGAUGAUCAGUAUAGGGAAGAGGCCCCAGAAUUUAGCAACGGCUGUUCUGUAACAGGGUCUCAGAGUUCACAGGUCAGCAAUGUGUGUGAGUCCAUGUUUAAUUUGCCCUGUUAAAUUCUAACUUCUACGUUUUGAUCUAGCAUUUUAGACUACUGAUGUAAUUUUGAGUUCCAAUUCUGUUUGCUGAAUUAGCUGUCUUCCUAUGUGGUCUUUAAAAAUAUACUUUCAGGCUACGUAAUACGUAGUUUUUUACUUACUGCAUAGUACUUUAUUGCUUUGAAUGUCAGGUGUGGCAGCAAUAAACAUUUCUGUAUGUGUGAUAGGUGUUUGAGGGCCAUUCUAGUGAGUCA